AAAUAUCCUCUUCUAAAGAGAUUCGAUUCGGAACUUUUAUAUGUCCAAGUUCAAUAUGGAAACUCUUUCAGAGGUAUUCUCUUACUUUGUCCGUGUCAACAAACAAUUUGAAAUACCUAAACUUUUUCAGAACAAGUCCGAGUCAAAUAG
rnacentral:rRNA from 1 species